GACGACGACGACGACGACGACGACGACGACGACGACGACGACGACGACGACGACGACGACGACGACGACGACGACGACGACGACGACGACGACGACGACGACGACGACGACGACGACGACGACGACGACGACGACGACGACGACGACGACGACGACGACGACGACGACGACGACGACGACGACGACG
rnacentral:sRNA from 1 species